rnacentral:rRNA from 1 species
AUCGACGGCCAUAGCCUCCUCAAAGUACCGUAACUAGGAGAGCGCUCGGUUAGUACCAGGGUGGGGGACCACCUGGGAAUCCCGGGUGCCGUCGUUU